UAGGGGUGAAAGGCCAAUCAAACUUCGUGAUAGCUGGUUCUCUCCGAAAUGCAUUUAGGUGCAGCGUUGCGUGGUUCUUGUUGGAGGUAGAGCACUGGAUGAGUUGUGGAUAGGGGUGAAAGGCCAAUCAAACACCGUGAUAGCUGGUUCUCCCCGAAAUGCAUUUAGGUGCAGCGUCGUGUGUUUCUUGCCAGAGGUAGAGCUACUGGAUGGCUGAUGGGCCCCACCGGGUUACUGACGUCAGCCAAACUCCGAAUGCCGGUAAGUGAGAGCGCAGCAGUGAGACUGCGGGGGAUAAGCUCCGUAGUCGAGAGGGAAACAGCCCAGAUCGCCGGUUAAGGCCCCUAAGGGUGUGCUAAGUGGAAAAGGAUGUGGGAUCGCGAAGACAGCCAGGAGGUUGGCUUAGAAGCAGCCACCCUUGAAAGAGUGCGUAAUAGCUCACUGGUCGAGUGAUCCUGCGCCGAAAAUUUCCGGGGCUAAAACGUACUACCGAAGCUACGGCAUCAUUAUGAUGGGUAGGGGAGCUUCGUAUACAGGCUGAAGCAUGACCGUAAGGACAUGUGGACAGUAUACGAGUGAGAAUGUUGGCAUGAGUAGCGAGACGUGGGUGAGAAUCCCACGGGCCGUAAACCCAAGGUUUCCAGGGGAAGGUUCGUCCGCCCUGGGUUAGUCGGGACCUAAGCCGAGGCCGAAAGGCGUAGGCGAUGGACAACAGGUUGAUAUUCCUGUACCGCCAAUAACCGCUUGAGAAAUGGGAUGACACAGUAGGAUAAGCUAACCACACUGUUGGUUAUGUGUGGCUAAGUACUGAGGCAGUCGAGAUAGGCAAAUCCGUCUCGAUGUUAAUGCUAGGGUACGAUGGGGAGCGAAAUUUAGUAGCGAAGUAGCUGAUUUCACACUGUCGAGAAAAGUCUCUAUCGAGGUUAAAGGCGCCCGUACCGUAAACCGACACAGGUGGGUGAGGAGAGUAUCCUAAGGCCAGCGAGAGAACUAUUGUUAAGGAACUCGGCAAAAUGACCCCGUAACUUAGGGAGAAGGGGUGCCUGUCUUUGACAGGCCGCAGAGAAUAGGCCCAAGCGACUGUUUACCAAAAACACAGGUUUCUGCUAAGUCGCAAGACGAUGUAUAGGAGCUGACGCCUGCCCGGUGCUGGAAGGUUAAGGGGAACUGUGAGUGUAUGCGUAGCGGUGAACUUAAGCCCCAGUAAACGGCGGUGGUAACUAUAACCAUCCUAAGGUAGCGAAAUUCCUUGUCGGGUAAGUUCCGACCUGCACGAAUGGAGUAACGACUUCCCCGCUGUCUCAACCAUGAACUCGGCGAAAUUGCAGUACGAGUAAAGAUGCUCGUUACGCGCAGCAGGACGGAAAGACCCCGGGACCUUUACUAUAGUUUGGUAUUGGUGAUUGGGACGGUUUGUGUAGGAUAGGUGGGAGACGUUGAUGCGGCCACGCUAGUGGUGGUGGAGUCGUUGGUGAAAUACCACUCUGAUUGUUCUGGUUAUCUCACUGUGGACCGUGAUCCGGUUCAAGGACAGUGCCUGAUGGGUAGUUUGACUGGGGCGGUCGCCUCCUAAAGUGUAACGGAGGCGCCCAAAGGUUCCCUCAGCCUGGUUGGCAAUCAGGUGUUGAGUGUAAGUGCACAAGGGAGCUUGACUGUGAGACAGACAUGUCGAGCAGGGACGAAAGUCGGGACUAGUGAUCCGGCAGUGGCUUGUGGAAGCGCUGUCGCUCAACGGAUAAAAGGUACCUCGGGGAUAACAGGCUGAUCUUGCCCAAGAGUCCAUAUCGACGGCAUGGUUUGGCACCUCGAUGUCGGCUCGUCGCAUCCUGGGGCGGA
rnacentral:rRNA from 1 species